AUGAACGCUGGCGGCGUGCCUAAUACAUGCAAGUCGAGCGAACAGAUGAGGAGCUUGCUCCUCUGACGUUAGCGGCGGACGGGUUAGUAACACGUGGAUAACCUACCUAUAAGACUGGGAUAACUUCGGGAAACCGGAGCUAAUACCGGAUAAUAUAUUGAACCGCAUGGUUCAAUAGUGAAAGACGGUUUUGCUGUCACUUAUAGCUGGAUCCGCGCCGCAUUAGCUAGUUGGUAAGGUAACGGCUUACCAAGGCAACGAUGCGUAGCCGACCUGAGAGGGUGAUCGGCCACACUGGAACUGAGACACGGUCCAGACUCCUACGGGAGGCAGCAGUAGGGAAUCUUCCGCAAUGGGCGAAAGCCUGACGGAGCAACGCCGCGUGAGUGAUGAAGGUCUUCGGAUCGUAAAACUCUGUUAUUAGGGAAGAACAAAUGUGUAAGUAACUAUGCACGUCUUGACGGUACCUAAUCAGAAAGCCACGGCUAACUACGUG
rnacentral:rRNA from 1 species